rnacentral:rRNA from 1 species
GUGAACGCUGGCGGUAGGCCUAACACAUGCCAGUCGAACGGCAGCACAGUAAGAGCCUGCUCUUACGGGUGGCGAGUGGCGGACGGGUGAGGAAUACAUCGGAAUCUACUUUUUCGUGGGGGAUAACGUAGGGAAACUUACGCUAAUACCGCAUACGACCUACGGGUGAAAGCAGGGGAUCUUCGGACCUUGCGCGAUUGAAUGAGCCGAUGUCGGAUUAGCUAGUUGGCGGGGUAAAGGCCCACCAAGGCGACGAUCCGUAGCUGGUCUGAGAGGAUGAUCAGCCACACUGGAACUGAGACACGGUCCAGACUCCUACGGGAGGCAGCAGUGGGGAAUAUUGGACAAUGGGCGCAAGCCUGAUCCAGCCAUACCGCGUGGGUGAAGAAGGCCUUCGGGUUGUAAAGCCCUUUUGUUGGGAAAGAAAAGCAGCAGGUUAAUACCCCGCUGUUCUGACGGUACCCAAAGAAUAAGCACCGGCUAACUUCGUG